CUGUGUUUACACAGGGGAAGACCAGCAGCUGCUCUGUUAGUGGAAAGAUGUCUGAAACAACUUGGUAAUUUUGCAAGGGCUGGCACUUCAAAUAUGGCAGAAGGAAGCAGCUGGUGUCCUAAAGUGGCUGUUGGAAAACUGCUUUUUUGACUCUUUACCUCCUCUGAUCAGGAUGUAAGUGCGUGCAGUGAAGUGGCCUGUUAAUUUGUUAUGUUAAAUACGCAUGUUGCUACGUAUUUAUUAGCGAAGACAAGGUCAUGGAAAUGGGCCUUACGUUUGGACCAGAAAAUGAGCAGGCUUUCCUCAGUCUGCCCCUAGGAUUCAGCUCACUAUUCUGAAUCCUUUCAUGCUCUGCAGCAGCAGGAGAUGAUAGAAGAAGGGUCUUCACUUGCAAGAAUUUAGUACCACAGACACCUGGGACACCCAAAGAAUCCUAAGCCUCUGUGGUCCAGGCACUGGACUUUUGACCUUUGUGUCAGGUCUCUUUAUGUUACCUUCGCAUCAGGUUACAUAGUUGUUAACUGGCAGCAAAUCAGAGGUGAUCACAACACUUGAUGAAAAGUAACAAAUCUAACCAUGAUUAUUUUGGAUGAUAAAGAAGUAAAACUGAAAAAUCUACAGGGGAAACACGCAAGAGUGCUGUAGAGACACCAGCAGGGAAGAAUGCAGAUCAAACCGCAGAAAUGGCAGAGCUAAAGACCCAGAACCUCUAAAUGCCCACAGAAUGCUCCUUUCAAGACUAACAAUCUACAGAGAAACAUAAUCACCCUGUGUGAAAUUAAAGCUCUUUCAAAGGGCUGCUUCUCUACUUCUCUUAACAUUGAAAUAGACAUCAGCUUUAAUGAAAGCAGAGUCUGACCAUCAUGGCUGUUGCUCUCCGUGAAGUCCAAGACUCAAACUAGCAAUUCUGAGAAUGCUCAAGGACAGGUGAAGCUCAGGUUUUUGGAUUGCUUUGUGACCUGUUAUGCGGGAAGACACCAAGGUACACGUUUUAAUCAUGAGAUGUUACUGUUCUCCAGAAAAAAAAAUCCCUGAACUUUGGAGCAAUACAUGAUCAUGCUUCUGACACAGUAAUUGCAGUUUUUAAAAAGUAGGCAGUAACAAAACUAAAGAAAUCAAAAGUACCUGGAGUGCCAAUUCUGGACGCGAAUUCUCACAGAACUAUUGCUACAACACAGGAAAACUGAAACUCCAUUUUCGUGCUAAAGAUUUACAGGAGCAACAUAGUUACUGUUACUCUAAAAUGUUUGCAAUGUGAAUCCAGAGACCGCUUCAGAAUGACCUCCUAGACAGACCCGAUUAUCCUGCUUCUCAAGUGCUCCACGUCAUUGUCAUCAAGCUGACUCCUGUGGCCCUCUUACCCUGUACUCUGCAGUCAAGGUGACUCCAGCAUGCAACAGCGCUCCCAAGCUUGCUUGGGUCUAGGUGCUUCACACAAGACUAGUGUCAUUUGUAGUCCAGUGUGGGUGGCACAUGUCUCUGGGAGUUCUUGACCACCUCUGCA